UACGUAGGGUGCAAGCGUUGUCCGGAAUUAUUGGGCGUAAAGAGCUUGUAGGCGGUUUGUCGCGUCUGCUGUGAAAUUUCGGGGCUCAACCCCGAACUUGCAGUGGGUACGGGCAGACUAGAGUGUGGUAGGGGAGACUGGAAUUCCUGGUGUAGCGGUGAAAUGCGCAGAUAUCAGGAGGAACACCAGUGGCGAAGGCGCCACUCUGGGCCGUAACUGACGCUGAGGAGCGAAAGCGUGGGUAGCAAACAGG
rnacentral:rRNA from 1 species